CCUCCUAAAAAAAAGCCUUAAUCCAAUUUCAAAUUUUAAACUCACGUUUUUUCUCUUCCUUAGUUCUCUCUCCAGUUUAAAAAUUCAUCACUUUCUUUCUAUUCCUUGAUCUGCAGGACUAAUCUUAAGGUGGUGAUGAUGAGCAUUUUUAAAGUUAAUUGUUGUUUCUUUCUUUUCCCAUCGACGCUCAAAGGAGGGUGAUGAAAGGCUGCUUCUUUUCUUAAUUCUCGAUCAAAUUCAGAUUUGGAAUGUCAUCCUCUGAAAUAUUUUUCCUCAUGUUCUGCAAACAUGGGUAUCAUUUUGCCGUGAAGGAGCUUUCUUUGCUUAAUUCAGGUAGCCACGAGAAGCAGAAGAUUAUUCAACUUCAACAGGUGAUGUUUAAAUUUCGAUCAAUUCUUCUUGUAUAUGUUAUCGGUUCAAUAUCAAUCAAAUCCUAAGUUUUAUACACUUAGCUUUUCUUUUUAUCUUGUAUUAUUUUCAGUACAUAUCUUUAUUAAUCGGUUCAAUCAUAAGAACAUAGUUCGGUAUCUUGCAGCAGGCGUGGUAUGUAAUUCUUCUUUCAUGGUCUAUCUGACACAAAUUCUAACACCUUGAUCUUGAUGAUAAACACCAGGUCCAUGUUGAGAUCGAGUCAUUUUUCGAUGGCCUGGAUUUCUCGGAGCCAUUGACCCGAGCACAUUUCGAAGAGCUGAACGAUGACUUGUUUAGAAAGACAGUGGGACCUGUGAAAAAGGCCAUGGAAGAUGUAGGUCUGGAGAAACGCCAGAUCGACGAGAUUGUUCUUGUUGGAGGAAUACCAGAAUUCCAAAAGUUCAACAACUCCUUAGGGAUUACUUUAAAGGAAAGGAACCAAACAUGGAUGUGAACCCUGUUGUUUAAGGAGGCAUUCUGAGUGGAGAGGGUUGUGACGAAUUUAAAGGUAGUUCAUUUUCUCUUAUCAUACAUGUCCUGUUUUAAGAGGCCUACAACGGGUCGGGUUGGGCUAGGUGAUUAAUCUUUUAAAGGCAAUGUUGCAGUCUGUUGUUAACUAUUUCGGCAUUAUUUUGAUAAUUUAUAGGGGCAUUAUGUGGUAAUUCUCACUCUUUAUUAGGGAGUUUGAGAUUGUAAUCAAUCACUUGAUGAAGUUCCAUUAAUCGUAAUAUGUUAUAAUUGUGGUCACACAACUUUAGCAACAUCCCACUUUCUUUUUAAGUAUGGCUUAGUGAACUCUUAACACAAUUGUAUUCUCAACCCUUUCUGUUAAAGAAGUUGGGAAAUAUGAUUUUGUUAUAUAUCUGGUAUUCUUCUCCCCUCUCAAAUAUUCUGCUAAAGAAUUGCAGUUUCUUUGCAAGCACUUAAAUUGGCGAACAACUUUUUAAUUUAAACAUUAAUCACAGUAUGUUAAUCCCAAAGGUAGCAUUCAGGAAUUUCAUUCUAAAUGGCAUUAAUCAACUAUUCAACUGUUUACAUAGCGUGUAUUUCAUAUUGUAUCUUACUAACAUUGCCUUUACAAAAAUUUGAGUAUAUGCUGGUUGCAGGUUGAUCUAAAGACAUUUAUGCUUGAAGUCUGUAUGGAUCCUUAGGGUCAUAGACUUAGGCUAAAUGUAAUUUCUACUUAAAUUAAUUGUAAGAUAUAAUAUAAAAUUUUUAAAUAGUGUUAAUAAGUUGUUAUG